GAACUAUUUCCUCAGUGGCGCCAGGCAGUUGGGCAGGAUCAUCUGGGGUGGUUUUCAUGUGGCAAAGCAAAGCAUCCUCUGGGAUUCCAGGGCGACUUCUGAGGAUCCUUUUUCAUCCGUGACCUCAAACCAUGCCUCAUCCCAGGCCGCAAGGAUGGGAGGCCACCGCGGCCUGAGCCGAGUUCGCUGACCUCUGAAAUAACCCGCCCUGAUCCAUUCAGCAAAGCAGAGAGCAACUCAGAAAACAGGUGUUCCGGCGCAGAUGAAAAAGAGAGGACAAGAUGGGUGCCGUUUCCAACACAGCAGAAGGCCUUCUGUCUCUCUUCACAUUGUCUGCUUCCCCACCAGACUGCAAACUCCUGGAAGGUGACACCAGGACUCUGUGUUACUACACCUGGUGUCCCUCACACCUGGCACUGCACCAGACUCAGUCCUGAGAAAGAUGCCACCUCUUUCUUCACUGCACCAUCACCAAAAGGAACAGAAAUGGGAGGCUUUAACGAAAAACUGGGCUUGGCGAAAAAUCAUACAGUGGACUGUCAGACUGUUUGGGGAUUGACAAGAAUCCCAGCAUUUCUAAGCAUUAAGGACACAUAGAAUGAAGAAGUGGCCGUCUUGGCAAAAGAAAGGCACUAGUAUGGAUCUCCAAAGCUCUUAAAUAGGGGCAAUUUUGAUUCUCUUCUUAAAGAGUCUUAGUGAAGCUCUUAAACCACUGAAGACUUUUUCUUUCAAACAUUUCAAACUCGGUGGUUAAUCCCUCAGUGAGAGGAAUCUAACUUCCUGCGCCUGCAGCCUAGGGUUAACAAGACGGCAACCUUGAGCUGAAGAAAACAGCAGCAGCAAACGAGAAUUAAACCCGGGGUGGAUAUUUGAGGUAGUUUUUCCUUUUUAUUUUUUUUCUUAAACAAGUUCUAAGAAACAAGCCAUAAGGCAGCAAAUCCAGG
rnacentral:lncRNA from 1 species